AUUGAACGCUGGCGGCAUGCCUUACACAUGCAAGUCGAACGGCAGCAUGAUCUAGCUUGCUCGAUUGAUGGCGAGUGGCGCACGGGUGAGAAAUACAUCGGAACGUGCCCUGUAGUGGGGGAUAACUAGUCGAAAGAUUAGCUAAUACCGCAUACGACCUGAGGGUGAAAGUGGGGGACCGCAAGGCCUCAUGCUAUAGGAGCGGCCGAUGUCUGAUUAGCUAGUUGGUGAGGUAAAGGCUCACCAAGGCGACGAUCAGUAGCUGGUCUGAGAGGACGAUCGGCCACACUGGGACUGAGACACGGCCCAGACUCCUACGGGAGGCAGCAGUGGGGAAUUUUGGACAAUGGGCGAAAGCCUGAUCCAGCAAUGCCGCGUGUGUGAAGAAGGCCUUCGGGUUGUAAAGCACUUUUGUCCGGAAAGAAAUGGCUCUGGUUAAUACCUGGGGUCGAUGACGGUACCGGAAGAAUAAGGACCGGCUAACUACGUG
rnacentral:rRNA from 1 species